GACGGAGGUGGCGAGCGUUGCUCGGAUUUACUGGGCGUAAAGCGCGUGUAGGUGGCCCUGCAAGUCAGACGUGAAAUCCCUCGGCUCAACCGAGGAACUGCGUUUGAAACUGCUUGGCUUGAGUGCAGGAGAGGAAGGUGGAAUUCCCGGUGUAGAGGUGAAAUUCGUAGAGAUCGGGAAGAACACCGGUGGCGAAGGCGGCCUUCUGGACUGCUACUGACACUGAGACGCGAAAGCGUGGGGAGCAAACAGG
rnacentral:rRNA from 1 species